rnacentral:tRNA from 1 species
GCCUUGGUGGUGUAGAGGCCUAGCAUAUAGCCCUGUCGAGGCUAUGACCCGGGUUCGAUUCCCGGCCAGGGCG